rnacentral:rRNA from 1 species
UAGGGAAUCUUCCACAAUGGACGCAAGUCUGAUGGAGCAACGCCGCGUGAGUGAAGAAGGUCUUCGGAUCGUAAAACUCUGUUGUUAGAGAAGAACACGAGUGAGAGUAACUGUUCAUUCGAUGACGGUAUCUAACCAGCAAGUCACGGCUAACUACGUGCCAG